rnacentral:rRNA from 1 species
CCUACGGGGGGCAGCAGUGGGGAAUAUUGGACAAUGGGGGCAACCCUGAUCCAGCCAUGCCGCGUGUGUGAAGAAGGCCCUCGGGUUGUAAAGCACUUUCAGUGAGGAAGAACGCCUGGUGGUUAAUACCCAUCAGGAAAGACAUCACUCACAGAAGAAGCACCGGCUAACUCCGUGCCAGCAGCCGCGGUAAUACGGAGGGUGUGAGCGUUAAUCGGAAUUACUGGGCGUAAAGCGCGCGUAGGUGGCUUGAUAAGCCGGUUGUGAAAGCCCCGGGCUCAACCUGGGAACGGCAUCCGGAACUGUCAAGCUAGAGUGCAGGAGAGGAAGGUAGAAUUCCCGGUGUAGCGGUGAAAUGCGUAGAGAUCGGGAGGAAUACCAGUGGCGAAGGCGGCCUUCUGGACUGACACUGACACUGAGGUGCGAAAGCGUGGGUAGCAAACAGGAUUAGAUACCCCUGUAGUC